rnacentral:rRNA from 1 species
AUUGAACGCUGGCGGCAGGCUUAACACAUGCAAGUCGAGCGAGCGGAGGACGGGUGAGUAAUGUCGGGAAAACUGCCUGAUGGAGGGGGAUAACUACUGGAACCGGUAGCUAAUACCGCAUACCAUCAGAUGUGCCCAGGUGGGAUUAGCUAGUAGGGGGGGUAAUGGCUCACCUAGGCGACGAUCCCUAGCUGGCCUGAGAGGAUGACCAGCCACACUGGGACUGAGACACGGGCCAGACUCCUACGGGAGGCAGCAGUGGGGAAUCUUGCACAAUGGGCGCAAGCCUGACGCAGCAAUGCCGCGUGUGUGAAGAAGGCCUUCGGAUUGUAAAGCACUUUUAGCGGGGAGGCGGUACCGACAGAGGAAGCACCGGCUAACUCCGUGCCAGCAGCCGCGGUAAUAC